rnacentral:sRNA from 1 species
AGUUGCUACGGGAAUGUGGGGAUUGAAUGGGAAUGCGUAUGAGCAAACUUUCUGAGGUGAUAGGGCAGGUUACACUCAUAUGUGCAUUUCUCAAAACUCAUCGAGCUCUAUACUCAAGAUGUGGACAUUUCAGUCUACCUCAGUAAAAUAAAUAAAAAGAAACAAUAUGACAGGUGGAAUGAAGUAACGCGAAGAAUAGAAAUGUGGAUCUCCAUAUUAGAAUUGAAUGAGUUAGGGGAGUAUGCUGCAGUGGAACUUCAUCAGGCAAAAGAUGUCAACACAGGAGGCAUCUUUCAACUUAGACAGGGUCAUUCCCGUAGAGUACAAGUCACGGUGAAACCUGUGCAGCAUUCAGGGACACUGCCACUUAUGGUUGAAGCCAUCCUGUCAGUAUCCAUCGGCUGUGUAACUGCCAGGUCCACCAAACUCCAGAGAGGGCUGGACAGUUACCAGGAAGAAGACUUAAACUGCGUAAGGGAGAGGUGGUCAGAUGCACUCAUUAAACGACGAGAAUACUUGGAUGAACAGAUAAAAAAAGUCAGCAAUAAAACAGAGAAAACAGAGGACGAUGUGGAGCGGGAAGCCCAGCUUGUGGAGCAGUG